AUCCAAUGGCUGACGAGUCCCAAAUAGGACGAAAUGUGCGUUGUCCUGGAU
rfam:Trichobilharzia regenti genome assembly, scaffold: TRE_scaffold0023854